GCUGCGUUAAACUUGAGUGCCCCAGAUAUCCACAGCCACUAGUUGAGAGACCUUGCUUCGGGGUAUUUCAGACUCACUCAUGGAGUCGACUGUGAACGACCAAAUGUUUUGGGGAGCCAGUUUCCUGGAGCUGCCAGAUGAAAACGAUGUGUUCGCUGAGGACGAGGAGACGAAUGAGAGUUUGAUAAAGCCCAAGCUGUCUCCUCUUCCCCGAAGACGGAGAUCUUCAGAGGAGGACGAAAGUCCAGAACCUCCUACUACUCUUAACCGAAAGGUUUCCUUUGCCGAUACAUUUGGGCUAGAACUUGUAUCAGUCAGGGAAUAUGACAAAUGGGAUGUUCCGACAGGACCUCUCGGCUACAAUGUGCAGGAUGAGGGCCCACCUCCCGAGGAAUAUGUGCUAACACCAUCGUUUGAGGUGCCAGCCUCUCCCGAGGAACUUAUGGAAAAGGUUUUUGCGCAAAAAGUGGAACUAGAAUUCGUGGAGUUUCCCCCUGAGUUCACGUCCAUGAAGGGAGUGAUCCGUGUGCAGAACAUAGCAUAUGAAAAGCUGGUAUACGUUCGAGUGACACUUAACAAUUGGGACAGCUACUGCGACCUGCCAGCUGAAUACACCCCUGGUUUCUGCGACGAUGAAACCGACCAAUUCACCUUUAAAGUAUCAUUCGUGCCCCCCGAACGCAAAGAUGGGGGCAAAGUUGAAUUUGCCAUAUGCUAUGAAACGCCUAUCGGUACGUACUGGGCAAAUAACAAUCAGAAAAAUUAUGGGCUGUUAUGUCACAAGAAAGUAACAGAAAACCCUCAAGAAGAAAUCAGUGAUAGAAAUUUAAGAAGCUGUCUAAAGACUUCAUAUGGCAAAGAGUCCUUCGAAUCAACUUUGGAUAUCAACCUUGGGACACAACCGAACACAGAAGAUCAACAAGAGGAAGGAUGGAUGGAUUUGGAAAUGAAUACAUUCAAAAAAUGGAAUAGUGAAAUCCUGUUUGACGAAAACACAGAAGGCAAAACAAAAAAUAAACAGCAGCCAGACACACAGAUAUGUCAGUCAUUGCAUAUUUCACUGACCAACCCGAGGGGGCAGGAAACAAGUCUGGCAUUUGUGGAAGGAUCACACACUGAGAAUGAAGAGAAGAAUGGGAAGCAUGAUCUCACCGUCAGCAGACUACCACUCAUUCACCAGCAAGAGAUUGAAAGCAUUCAGCUCACAGAUGUAACCAAUGACAUAUCGGCCCAGACAAAGCAAGGGGAAGAAUCAGAGUUGCCUGCAGUGGUUCUGGACAGCACUUGCAAUCUCUCAAGUCAGAGUCACGAGGGACAUAUAAAUACAACAGUGCAAACCAACAGUGCAAACAUUAUUACAAACAAUGAAAACACAAUGACCCAAUCUUCUAAUUUGUUUUGUAUAAAUGAAACACAUUUAAUGCAUGAAGACAACUCUCCUCAGUCUCAGAGAAGGGAAGAAGCUUUAAGAUCAUAUGUGACUGAUACAUCCACUAAAUCUAUGCUAAACAUAAGCAGUCUAUUACAUUUAUCAGAUGAUGAAUCACAGCAUGUCUCUGCUAAUGAUGUAUGGGAGAAUUUGGUGACUGUUGAAGACAUAGACAGAUGUGGUGAACCUUCCAAUAAUUCAUCAGAAUCUACAGAUUUACUGCAUGAGAAAACAGAUGCUAAAGAUGCAAGUGAUGAACCUGUUUAUCUAACUGGUGAUACAUCAACUGAUGAAUCAGAGUCUGCCCUCAUCUCUUUAUUGUGCAAUAGUACUCAACUGGAGUCUGAGCCACAGAAAAUCAGUGUAUCAUCCAGCCAAUUAAUCUCAUCAGAAGGAGGAAAGGUUUUAAUGAAAGCAGAUUGUGAGCAAGGAAUGAUUAAACCCUGGUGUUACACUGAAACUGAAAAUGAAGACAAUGCAAGGCAAGAAAAGGACAUGGACAACCUAGAUUUUUCUGAACAACCAAUAAUUUUAGCAAAUAAGGAGACAGAAGUGCAAGAUCCGAUUGACAAGGUGUCUACUGCAGUUCAUUUUGAGAUUGAAAAAGAAAUGUCCAGUCCUUUCAAAGCUGCUAUUAAAGAAGAACGAUCUUAUAAUGCACACUUAAAUUGUGAAGAAACUGUGGUAGAAACGGUGCAACAUGUGCACAAUGCUCCAGAUACUGUAGAGACAAAAGAGAUAGUAACUGGUCUUGAGGACAUUCCAUCUUCAAAUCAUCUGGAAAUUGCAAAUGCAUUAAAGGUUGAAAUUGCAGAAAAAUGUAGAGAGAUUGAAGAAACAAUACUUGAUAGUCCUCAGGAUGAAGAAAAAUAUCAAGCUUCUGCUGUAAAUAAUGAGAUGCCUGUAAAAAGUCUAGGGGUUGAUACACGUAUUGGUGGCGAUCAAAAAGAUACACUUAUAGCUACUCAAAAUACGAAACAAUUCAUUGAUGCUCCACCUCAUGGGUUAGUUGAUUCAAUAGUAAAGAAAGCAAUUGAAGAUGCUUUAUGCGAAAUUAGGAAAGAGGAGAGAACAACUGUCACAACUAUGUCACAAGAAUGCACAGCCACACAAUUUUCUCCAAACAUUGCAAUGUUUUCAGAAUCUGUACAGGAGGAGACCUCAACUUUUGAGUUGAUACCAAAUCAUAAAAAACCUUCCAAAAUCAAUGUUAUUCAUGAACAAACCAUGAAGUGCAAUCCACAAUUUUCUGAACAUAAAAACUUACUAAGUGCUGAAGCUAUCGCAGGAGGUGAGGAGACGGUAAAGAAUACAGUCAGCAAUUUCGAGGAAAAUACAAAAGAGCAAGAAAUUGCUGCAGUGUCGUGUUACCCCGGAAUAGUUCCGGAUAAAGAGACAUCACUUGGACUUUCGGGAGAUGUAAAGCAUUCAGUCGUAGCAUACAAUGAUACACAGGCUGUGAAACAAAACUUGAUCACUGAUGCCCUAGUGGUCCUGAAAAAAGAUGUUCCACAUUCAUUGAAGAUAGUUCCUCAUCUUUUGGAUGCCGGAGCAGGAGGAAUCUCGUCUGAAGCCACUAAUACUUGUGAAGGAAUAGCUGAAGAUGUUUCUAAGGAAGUAGACUUUAAAAUAGAGGAAUAUGGUCAGAUAAGACAUGUGCACACAGAGGAUGGAAAUGAGUUGACCAUCAAUUCUGCAGAACUGCCGGAAGAGAAAAUGCAUAAUAACAAGGUGGACUGUGAGGAUAAGAUUCAGAUGAACGUUAAGAGAUAUAUGGAAGAAUCCCAUUAUUAUAGUAUAGCAGAUGUUAAAAAAUGCAGUGAAGUGGAAACAGCAUUAACGUCUGAUCUAAAGGGUGCAGAAGAAAUGCCAAAUAUAAAAAUCAUUUUACAACCCAACGAUGAAAGAGUCGAACCCCAGAAUGAAGUAUUUACAUAUUUACAUGACACUGCAAAUGACAUAAAGUCUGAAACUAUGAACAAAAUAGUUUCUGCUCCUCCAGAGAUAGCAGAAGAGGAAGCAAGCUGUGCAUUAGAACCAGUACCUGAGAUAACUGGUAACCAACACUCUGGAGAAGGCCCUGAAGACCCUAUCGAGAAUCAGGGUGAAGCAAUUCAUACAUUUGCUGAAUCACAAGUUUCUCACCAUUUUGAAAGCAUAGCUGCUUGGGAAGAUAAUCAUCAGAUGGAAGUGAACGAGGGGAGUGGGCAAGAGGUGGUUAGGCCUACAAAUAAUGUGACGCUGGACCCAACCGCAUCAUCUUCAAGCAUUUCAGAAGGCAAGAAAAAUAAUGUGCAGAAAAGACACAGCUCUGAGCCCAGCUCCAAUCGCAAACGCAGAGGUCCAGUAAUAUUGUGACCAACAACAGUGGAAGCCACAGUUUUGAAAACCUUUUCCAUUUACCGCAAAGAAAGACACCCUCAUCCCCUUUGUCUGUGUUGGAGCCAAGGUGUUGAUGAGAUUAAAGGCAUUUAUGGCCAAUUUGAAAUGACACUUGGAUAACAGAGUGGUUCAAUACCUAAAGGCGUACAAAACCUGCUCUUGUGCCCAGACAGACCCAGAGGAGCUGGGUAAAACAAGACAGAUUAAGUAAUUGCAACAUUUAAUUUACUAUGGAUUCCAGAGGAUGUCAGAUAGCUGGAUUGCAAAACGCGGUGUGAUGGACGCUGACAUAAUAUCCUUGGCUCAAUCGGUAAUAUCCUUGUGCAGGUAGCUGAUUGCCGAGUUAUCAAAGAGCCUUGAGAAAAACUUUCCUUGAGAAAGGCUUACAUCUUUCAAAGCAAAUGGUACGAGUUUGCAUGGCAUCACCGAGCUGGAGCUUUUGUGGCCCGCAAUUAGGGCUUGCAAUCCCGGUAAUGGUGCUACUGAAAUUCAGGACUGCAACCCCUACCCAUGAUGGUUGGUUGUACGUUUGUGCCAGUGGUUGCCAUCAUAGCGAGUUAUUGAUUCCAGCCAAUUUUGCAGAAGGACGCUCAGAGCAAUGGCCAUCUGUUUCUCAGACGAGGAAAAUCUUACAUCUUAAGUUUUUAAAUUGCAGUGGGGUAUUGAAAAGAAACAGCCUGGCCCUGACUUCACACGCACACCGCACACACACACACAAACACACACACAGCCAACCACAGGUAUGAAUGAGUAGGCUUGCGUUUUCCUAAUAAUAAAGUCUCUGUCUUGAAGAUCUGUGUAGCUGCAGUUUUUAAUACAGAAGAACGUGCCUAUGUCAUAAAAUACUUUCUGUCAAAGCUUGUUUUUAAUGGUUGUAAGUAUUGGAAA